UCACACCAUUGUACAACUCUUAAACUAUAUAAGGAGAUACCAUUAUGUAACUUAUGAUCAAAUAUGUACUAAAAAUAUGAUUUUCAUCUAUCUCAAUUGAAAAAAUAUUCAGAUUUUGUGUCUAUUGUCAUGAACCGCAUUUUUUGUGGCCGUAACAAUGUUUCGUCACGGCGAUAACGGUGUUUCAUCGUGAUUUUUGUUCACUCUGUAAAAACGGUGUGUAAGGUUUUGACACCAAUGCUCAAGGGAAAAAGUGAAAUGUCGAUAUCAGCAUAUAAUAUCUAUAGGCAAGUAGAUAUAAUAAAUGUGGAGUGGAUGCUGUGAAAAGAGUGAGACCAAUGCCACAAAAUAGGGUUAGGAGACCUUUAAGGCUCUAUCUUAUCUUCAAAUUGUACCAUGUUCUUCAUUGUAAAAUGAGAGCCAUAUGCACAUGGCACCCACAAUAAGGGACCGCCACCAAGUUUGGUAUAUAGUAUUUUGAUUUGCUA